AACGAACGCUGGCGGCAGGCUUAACACAUGCAAGUCGAGCGAGACCUUCGGGUCUAGCGGCGGACGGGUGAGUAACGCGUGGGAACGUGCCCUUCUCUACGGAAUAGCCCCGGGAAACUGGGAGUAAUACCGUAUACGCCCUUUGGGGAAAGAUUUAUCGGAGAAGGAUCGGCCCGCGUUGGAUUAGGUAGUUGGUGGGGUAAUGGCCCACCAAGCCGACGAUCCAUAGCUGGUUUGAGAGGAUGAUCAGCCACACUGGGCCUGAGACACGGCCCAGACUCCUACGGGAGGCAGCAGUGGGGAAUCUUAGACAAUGGGGGCAACCCUGAUCUAGCCAUGCCGCGUGAGUGAUGAAGGCCUUAGGGUAGUAAAGCUCUUUCAGCUGGGAAGAUAAUGACGGUACCAGCAGAAGAAGCCCCGGCUAACUCCGUG
rnacentral:rRNA from 1 species